UACGGAGGGGGCUAGCGUUGUUCGGAAUUACUGGGCGUAAAGCGCACGUAGGCGGCUUUGUAAGUUAGAGGUGAAAGCCUGGUGCUCAACAACCAGAACUGCCUUUAAGACUGCAUCGCUUGAAUCAUGGAGAGGCGGGUGGAAUUCCGAGUGUAGAGGUGAAAUUCGUAGAUAUCGGGAGGAACACCGGUGGCGAAGGCGGCGAUCUGGGUCGAUACUGACGCUGAGGUGCGAAAGCGUGGGGAGCAAACAGG
rnacentral:rRNA from 1 species